GCCGGGCGUGGUGGCGCGUGCCUGUAGUCCCAGCUACUCGGGGAGGCUGAGGCAGGAGAAUCUCUUGAACCCAGGAGGCGGAGGUUGCAGUGACCCAAGAUCACACCACUGCACUCCAGCCUGGGCAACAGAGAGAGAUCCUGUCUCAA
rnacentral:SRP_RNA from 1 species